AUCUAGCUGACGAGUCCCAAAUAGGACGAAAGGUGCGUUUUGCAU
rnacentral:hammerhead_ribozyme from 1 species